rnacentral:rRNA from 1 species
AGCUUUAGCUCAACACGCUGUCGGUCUAGCCUGCCCACUGAAUUUUUAAAUGGCCGCAGUAUAUUAACUGUGCAAAGGUAGCAUAAUCAUUAGUCUUUUAAUUGAAGGCUGGAAUGAAUGGUUGGACGAAAUAUUAACUGUUUCAAAUAAAUUUUUUAUAGAAUUUUAUUUUUUAGUCAAAAAGCUAAAAUUUUUUUAAAAGACGAGAAGACCCUAUAAAUCUUUAUAAUUUAAUUAUAAUAAUAAUAAAGAUUAAUUUUUUUAUUAUAAUUUAAAUUAUUUUAUUGGGGUGAUAUUAAAAUUUAAUAAACUUUUAAUUUGUUAAAUCAUUAAUUUAUGAAUAAUUGAUCCAAUUUUAUUGAUUAAAAAUUUAAGUUACUUUAGGGAUAACAGCGUAAUUUUUUUGGAGAGUUCAUAUCGAUAAAAAAGAUUGCGACCUCGAUGUUGGAUUAAGAGAUAAAUUUGGGUGUAGCCGUUCAAAAAUUAAGUCUGUUCGACUUUUAAAUUCUUACGUGAUCUGAUUCAGACCGGA